CCUUGGCCCCCCCCCCCCCCCCACCACCACCUUGGCUAAGCCACUGCCCUGAAUGGAACGUCGACCGAUGGGAUAUCGCACCAACGGGACAUCAGACCAUGCAAUGAGACGUCAAACUAGAGACGUUCCCGAAACAACUGAGAGGUCAUACUUUAAGUUUUGGAUGUGAAAAUUCUGCCGAAGUGCCAGAACUACAGAAGCAAUGUCAACUUCCUCGUCUGUCGCAAUAUCGAUGAGGGUAUUCCCCGUCAUCAUCAUCAUGUCGUCAUAUGC